GUGGAUUAGAUACCCUGGUAGUCCACGCCGUAAACGAUGUCAACUAGCCGUUGGGUACCUUGAGUACUUAGUGGCGCAGCUAACGCAUUAAGUUGACCGCCUGGGGAGUACGGCCGCAAGGUUAAAACUCAAAUGAAUUGACGGGGGCCCGCACAAGCGGUGGAGCAUGUGGUUUAAUUCGAAGCAACGCGAAGAACCUUACCUGGCCUUGACAUGCUGAGAACUUUCCAGAGAUGGAUUGGUGCCUUCGGGAACUCAGACACAGGUGCUGCACGGUCGUCGACAGCU
rnacentral:rRNA from 1 species